rnacentral:rRNA from 1 species
CCUACGGGAGGCAGCAGUGGGGAAUAUUGCACAAUGGGGGAAACCCUGAUGCAGCAACGCCGCGUGAGCGAUGAAGGCCUUCGGGUCGUAAAGCUCUGUCCUAAGGGAAGAAUACUGACGGUACCUUAGGAGGAAGCCCCGGCUAACUACGUGCCAGCAGCCGCGGUAAUACGUAGGGGGCUAGCGUUAUCCGGAAUUACUGGGCGUAAAGGGUGCGUAGGCGGCCCUUCAAGUCAGAGGUGAAAGGCUACGGCUCAACCGUAGUAAGCCUUUGAAACUGUAGGGCUGGAGGGCAGGAGAGGAGAGUGGAAUUCCCAGUGGAGCGGGGAAAUGCGUAGAAAUUAGGAGGAAAACCAGUUGAGAAGGGGGCCCUCUGGACUGUAACUGCCCCUGAGGAACAAAAGCGUGGGAAGCGAACAGGAUUAGAUACCCCGGUAGUC